AACAACUACAGAGCACACACAAUAGUAGGUCCGAAGUGUUGGAUUCGUGUUGAAUAAUUAAUAUUUCAUUUCAAAUUUAUGUAUCGCUAUGAGUGGUAGCACAGUGGCCAAUACGGGUCAGGCUUUAGUGAGCUUUGACUCCAGAGUCAGUCUGGAUGCAAUGCAGGGUCUUGUUAAGUCACGAAGUGAUUUGUUCAUGACGGCCUACCACAGAAGACAGGAGAUGCUGGAAUCAGCUAAGGUCAAUACUGUGUGGGAUCUAAAGCCAAUUGACUUCUCAGUGAAGAUGUAUCAGCCAAACCCUCCGCCAAGAAAUACAAAAGAGUCAAUGGUAAAGAACUGGAGUGUAUUGAAAUUAAAAAACAAUUUGUCGUCAAAGGAAAUUAGGAAAGAGUCAAGACUUGUUGAAUCCUCUGUUCCUUUGUUAAAGUUGCCAUCUCUUCUUGUUCCCAAAGAUAUUGAUGAGUUGCCUGAAUUUGUUGCAAAGUUUAGACCCCCCAGCUCACAGACUUCCAGGCAAUCAUUUAUCAGAGAAGGAAUGUACGCGAAAGACCCAUACAAAACUGAUAGUGUAGGAAUUCAUCGUCGAGAUAUUUUUCGAAAGUUAGAGGACUUUAAAAAGUUUAGCAAAUAUGGCAUACAGGACUUUGACACCAGCUGUGCCGCUGAUCCUCAUGGUCUAAGAUUCAAGCAUAAUAUGUUAUCAAAAACUCUUCCAGAACUGAGUACAACUGAACAGAUAUCGAUACGAACCUGUCAGUCGGAGCCCAUGCCUAGACUACACCAGCCACCAAAAUGGGAAAAGCGCAACCAUCUACCGAGAUCAGCUUAUAAAAGAGGAAAAUCUCCAGGCACGGUACUAAUGGACAGCGUACAAAGAAAAACUGUUUGGGUGGAUGGUAAAGAGAAAACUGGUGGAAUUAUGAGACCUGACAUUUACGACUAUAAAAUUAAAGAUUGGUGUGAAGUAACACAAGCUCCAAGCGAAAUUGAUGGCCCAUUUCCUUUGGCUUGAGAAGCUAAAAAGCAUGUUGGCUUGACCUUAGACAUUUUGACUAAGCGUCACAUUUCAUAGGUGCUGUAAAUCUUCGAAUUGCCCCUUUCCUCGUAAAAGUUCAUCUCCCUUGAAAUUGCAAUUUUUUAUAAGCCCCCAUCCUGACAUGUCACUUCUUACAAUACAUGGUUUUAGUUAAUGACAUAGAAAGCAUAAAAUAAAAAGAGUUCUAGAAUCAUCUUCGCAACGUUUUUUCUCAAUAUAAACGUAGUUUUUCAAAGUAAGCUUGAAAAAAUAUAAAAAUUCCAUAAAAAGCCUAUAAGCAUAGCGAUCUUAAGAUGAUUCUAACAAGUCAUCAUCCUCUUUUAACCUUCCUUUCGAAUCCUCACCCAUUCAAAAAUAUCCUAAACUAAUUAGUCAAAGAGGGCAAAUUUGAGGCUUUACAGUAACACCGGCUACGACGAUAAGAAUCAUUCCAAUGCAGCUGGCUUCUUGAUGGUUCGUUGCCUUUGGAUUAGAGUUUUCAAUAAGGACAUGAUGUAGCUAAAAAACCAAGUUUUUUGUGCAGUUGGGUUGAUUAUGAAUUGUAUAUUAUUAAUAGAGCUAGUAAAAUAUUUUUGAAGAUGUAUGCCUUUUUCUAGAUUUGAAGAACUAUAUCAAAAUAUAUCGCAUUUUCCAAUUAAAACAUCUGAUUUAUGAUUCGAAAGUGGCUGCAGUCUUGAACUUAUGGUUAGGCUUGGUCAUUUUUUUAUACUGGAAGGAAAAAUAAUUGGAACGGAUUUUGCAUAAUUUAAUAAUCCUGCCUGAGUGAAGGAAUAUUUUCACUGACUAGAAUUAAAUGCUUAAAAGAAAAAGAAACUAUGUGGUGAUAUCUGAUCAAUUUACUGUGACACAAGUUUGUCCAGGGAAAUUGUGUAAUGUUUGUGAAAUAGGAAAGAAAGUUUGGGCAGACAACUGACAUUGAUUAACGUUUUGUUUGGAAAAUUUGAAAUAAAUCUGAUACUCCUGAUAUAAUACUCCUGAAAAUUUAACCUCCUUUAAACGAAACAGAGUUAAUUUUAUCAGUUCAUCAUCCGUGCUAAUAGAAAUUUCAGGUAGAACUUUAUUGUUUAGAGGUCUUAGAAACAAACAACAUGAUGAGCACUCGAGCCUUAAAUUGUUAAAAAAAUAAGGACACCGAGCCUCGGGAAAAACAAGGGAAAAUCUGGCUCUUGAAAAUAGAAUUGUAAUGGGGGCAAUGUGCUGGAAAUGUCCUCAGGAGUAUUUUUCAAUUUUUUCUCGCUAGGCCGAGUUUUGCACUCUGUGAAGUUGUUGUGCAGAUCUAAUGACUGCUGUUGAAAACGAGACAACGAACAAAGUAAAUGACUAAAUGUAACCAGGCUGAUCCUAUCCACCUUUUCGGACUUCACUAUUCAUAACACCACUUGUUUUGCAUAAAAUCAAUUAACAGAAGCCUUAUGCAGCUCCAAUUUCUUAAAGAUUCUCUAAAUAUAUUCUGUGUGUAGAAGUGUAGAAGUUAUGAAUUCUACGAAAAAAUGGGCAGGUUUGGAAGGGUAGAAAGAGCCAAAACAUUAAAUAAACAGCGAGGUUAUCAAAGGUCUUGACAUGACAAUUUAUUGUAAUUGUAAGCUCUUAUUAGUCCUCUUUCGCAUAAUUUGUUAAUAUUAAAGCCAUUAACACAGUACCUUCAAACAAAAGGGCGGCAAUCAAAGUAGUUCUAAACAAAAUUUUUCUUUUGGAAGUCUCUUCUUUCUUUUCUCACGAAGGCUGUUGCGUUUGCCAAUGAAUUGAAUCUUAAGCCCUCCUUAGAUGUAUAUUUUCACUUUACAGUCAUAUUCAACAUUAAUGACAAUAGCCAUGCCAAGUAGAUUAGCCAUGGAUACUUCUUUUGUUGAGAAAUAUAUAUUUCAAUGGUUGCUUGUUUUGACUAUGCUGUCGGAACUCCAGAAUGGAGCCUGACUGCACGUCCCAUUAUAUUUCUAUCCAGACAUUAAAUCCUUGAUUUUUCUUCAUUCUCUUUUAUUUUUCAUUAAACUUUUUCAAUGUGGGUUAGGGUCAUAAAAAUCUCUUGUAUGCAGCUUGCUAGUAUGCAAUAAGACGUUGGAAAGUUACCGAAUUUGAUCUUUUUGUCGCCCGGGCAUUUAUCAAAACUUUAACCAUCAGCGACUCGUAUUCGAGAGGGGCGUUUAUUGAAAAAAAUUGCUUACUGAAAGAUAAAUGAUCUUUUUCAAAUCGAUUCACACGCUCUAUAUGAAGGUACAAAUUCUAAUAUUUGCUCAACGUUCAUCCUCUUCUUUAUCCGAAUCUAUUACAGCUGUUAGCUUCUCUCCACGUUUGCUAUUUCAAAAGGACCUGUUUUUUCACUGUUAUCACAAGAAGUGAUGGUCUUCAAUUUUUCAUAUCCUGCGUUGGACGGCUUUAUUCCAUCUUUGAAAUAUGAUACUCUUAAACAUCUGCUUAUCUAGACUUUCAUUGUUAGGCGACAUGGGCAAAACGCAGCAAUGACUUGAUGAUGAUAAUUUUAGGACCUAUUAGUAUAAAUGGGAGCCUACAUAAUACAAAAAAUAUUGAGAAACUCUUAUGGAGAAUUUCAAUUGUUAUGGAGAACUUGGAGAGAAGUUACAGAAAAUAAUAGAAUGUCGUGGAGCAGCCGUUGUUGACUGUCUAACAAUAGAUUGAAGAUGAGCGUGCAGUUACAAAAACGAGAAAAAAGCAGUAAAAGUACCAUUGAAGUAUAAAGAUCCUACUCUUAAGUCUAUUUAACAUUAAGACCACUAGGAGAGAAGUUAUCUAAACGAUAUGGUCAAACGCUUCACUCCUACUACCACUGCCAGUCGUUCAGAGAGCAAAAAUCCACACAAGAACGUUUGGGAACCUGAGAUUGUAGAUAGAAAGAAACUGAUCUCAAAAUUUACUAUAUCUGUUAAAAUUAUUAUUUAGAAUAGAAUUUAUACAAUAAUUGCGUGUAUAUAACUUUAAAAUCAUGAAAAUCAUUGGAAAAUAUAACUGCAUCGAUUUAGGAAUAUACAGGCAUUUUUAAGGAAGUACGUUAUAAGGAAAGCAGUGCUCGAAAAAGGCCUAAACUCUUUGUUUUCUUUCAACCACUAUAAGCAAUGAAAAUAAUGCAGGUAUGCAGCAACUAUAGUACCGUCGAGGACCUCAGAAAUUAAUUUUAUGAUAUCUUACUUAAAUUUGAUAAUACGAUUAAAAAGAUGAUGUCUCAUUGAGUUGAUCCUUUACAUGUUAAAAAGUGUCUUCUGAGAUCUUUAUAACCAAAUUUAAUUGUUACUUAAAAUUCACAUGAAGACAAGGAAUUUUGAAAACUCAAAAUACCAAAAUUGAAUACCAAAAUUCAGACAUCUUACAGACACGUCAUUUACUUAAGUUUAAAAAUGAAUAUUCUAGUUUCUUGAUAGAUAUAAUAAUUGCUUCUGUAGACUACAUAGACUUUACAAUUAUACAAAUGACAAAUUUCAUAUACAUACUUAUAUAUAUAUAUAUAAAAGACUUAAAGCAUUCGAUCAUAAAUUAGGAAAUAUCAAAUCUAUCUUUUUUGUACUGUCCAUUUUAUGAAUUGAUGAUUUCAUCAAGAAUCUCCAGGCUGUCUCUUUCAUUUUUCUUCCUCCAUAACUUCUCUUUGUAUUUUCUUACUUCAACACCCUCCCAUGUUUUGUUUUUCAGUGGUUUAAAAUACCUGAGAGAAAACAUGAAGACGAAAUUCUUACUUAGUAACCCUUGUUGCAUCUUCAACAUAAAAUAAAUUCUCAGUAAGAACAUUUGUAAACUGAAAAGCACGGUUCAGAAGAGAAGUAAAUUUCACCAAUUGCAAUUCAAUUGAAAAAAUAAUUUUUUCUGUUAUUGCAACAAAAGAUAACAAAUUGCAAAAUUCUUCUAAGAAUCCAAGAUCCAUUGAAAUAUUUAGUAUUUGCAUGUAUUAUUAGUUACAAAGCAAAUUUGACCGUCUCUUUCAUGUGGCACAUAGACUGACGAACAUAUGGAACAUCUUUGAUGUGUCGCGUUAAGUCUUUCGGUCGAAAAUUCAAACGUCAUGACUGCUUUG